rnacentral:lncRNA from 1 species
UCUCCCACAAUGCUGCGCGCCGUGGGCUGCUGGCCCCCGAGUGCGGGAAGGGCCGGCCGGGAGGCGGAGCGGAAGCCGAGUGCGAGGGACUAGCGGAGUAAAAUCUCCACAAGCUGGGAACAAACCGCGUCCCGACUCCCACCCCCCCGGCCUUUCUCCAGCCCGAUCUGGAGGCUGCUUCGCCAGUGCGGGACGCAGCUGACGCCCGCUUAUCAGCUCUCUCUGCGUCGCCCCAGCUCAGAAGCUCCGUGACGGCGGCGACCGUGACGGGAAGCCCGCGGCAAGCUCAGUUCUCUUAUACUUUGGGAGAGAGAGAAAGUCAGACGCCCGUUUUAAACUCCCUCUUCAAAACUCAUGUCCUGGGUGACUGUUUUACAGAGUUAAUAGAGUGGAUACAACCUUUCUGAAGAUGAAGAAUAUACAAUAUUGAGGAGAUUUUUUUCUUCUUUCUUUCAAGUCUUGAUUUGUGGCUUGUCUCAAGUUACCACUUUUCAGUCAAGUCU